rnacentral:rRNA from 1 species
GACGAACGCUGGCGGCGUGCUUAACACAUGCAAGUCGAACGGAAAGGCCCUGCUUGCAGGGUACUCGAGUGGCGAACGGGUGAGUAACACGUGGGUGAUCUGCCCUGCACUUCGGGAUAAGCCUGGGAAACUGGGUCUAAUACCGGAUAGGAGCCAUUUUUAGUGUGAUGGUUGGAAAGUUUUUUCGGUGUAGGAUGAGCUCGCGGCCUAUCGGCUUGUUGGUGGGGUAAUGGCCUACCAAGGCGGCGACGGGUAGCCGGCCUGAGAGGGUGGACGGCCACAUUGGGACUGAGAUACGGCCCAGACUCCUACGGGAGGCAUCAGUGGGGAAUAUUGCACAAUGGGCGCAAGCCUGAUGCAGCGACGCCGCGUGGGGGAUGACGGCCUUCGGGUUGUAAACUCCUUUCGCUAGGGACGAAGCUUUUUGUGACGGUACCUAGAUAAGAAGCACCGGCUAACUACGUG